rnacentral:rRNA from 1 species
GACGAACGCUGGCGGCGUGCCUAAUACAUGCAAGUAGAACGCUGAAGGAGGAGCUUGCUUCUCCGGAUGAGUUGCGAACGGGUGAGUAACGCGUAGGUAACCUGCCUGGUAGCGGGGGAUAACUAUUGGAAACGAUAGCUAAUACCGCAUAACAGAAGAUGUUGCAUGACAUUUGCUUAAAAGGUGCAAUUGCAUCACUACCAGAUGGACCUGCGUUGUAUUAGCUAGUUGGUGGGGUAACGGCUCACCAAGGCGACGAUACAUAGCCGACCUGAGAGGGUGAUCGGCCACACUGGGACUGAGACACGGCCCAGACUCCUACGGGAGGCAGCAGUAGGGAAUCUUCGGCAAUGGACGGAAGUCUGACCGAGCAACGCCGCGUGAGUGAAGAAGGUUUUCGGAUCGUAAAGCUCUGUUGUAAGAGAAGAACGAGUGUGAGAGUGGAAAGUUCACACUGUGACGGUAUCUUACCAGAAAGGGACGGCUAACUACGUGCCAGCAGCCGCGGUAAUACGUAGGUCUCGAGCGUUGUCCGGAUUUAUUGGGCGUAAAGCGAGCGCAGGCGGUUAGAUAAGUCUGAAGUUAAAGGCUGUGGGCUUAACCAUAGUACGCUUUGGAAACUGUUUAACUUGAGUGCAAGAGGGGAGAGUGGAAUUCCAUGUGUAGCGGUGAAAAUGCGUAGAUAUAUGGAGGGAUCACCGGUGGCGAAAGCGGCUCUCGGGCUUGUAACUGACGCUUAGGCUCGGAUGGCGUGGGGAGCAAACUGGUUUAUAUACCCUUUGUAGUUGAAGGGGCAAAUCUCACAGUGGAUAUGUUGAUUGUGCGAUACCGGCUCCUGUGUGGGGGGCAAAGGAGAAACAGAAUGUGUGACCUUUUGUGAGGUUAAUUAUGUGCUGCGCAUUGAUCU